rnacentral:rRNA from 1 species
UACGGAGGAUGCAAGCGUUAUCCGGAUUUAUUGGGUUUAAAGGGUGCGUAGGCGGACAGACAAGCGUGAGGUGAAAUGCCACGGCUCAACCGUGGGACUGCCUCGCGAACUGCCUGUCUGGAAUGACUCUGCCGUGGGAGGAAUGUGUGGUGUAGCGGUGAAAUGCAUAGAGAUCACACAGAACACCGAUUGCGAAGGCAUCUCACGAAGGGUUGAUUGACGCUGAGGCACGAAAGCGUGGGGAU